rnacentral:lncRNA from 1 species
UUCUUCUUCUUCUUCUUUGUCUCUUUUCUUUUUUUCGGAGCUGGGGAUCGAACCCAGGGCUUUGCGCUCGCUAAGCAAGCGCUCUACCGCUGAGCUAAAUCCCCAACCCCGAGACGCACAAUUCUAACCCAUGUGUAUACAAGAGGAAACUGAGGCCGAGCCAGGACUGGCUGGGGUGGUGGUAAAGGGGCUGGGACUCAGGACCUCACGUCUGCUCAACUCCUCUUCUCCAGCUCCGUGCCAUGGCGUCGUCCCAAGGUCGGCGGAGAAGGCCGGGAACAGUGGUGCCCGGGGAAGCGGCGGAGACCGACUCGGAGCUGUCUGCAUCAUCAUCCGAGGAGGAGCUAUACCUGGGUCCCUCGGGCCCGACACGCGGCCGCCCCACUGGGUUGCGGGUGGCCGGGGAGGCGGCGGAGACCGACUCCGAGCCUGAGCCGGAGCCCAGGGUCGCGCCGGGAGACCUGCCCCCCCUCGUGGUGCAACGGGAUGCAGUGGAGGCGUGGGGCACCGAGGAGACCCCUGUCCUAGCGCCUGCGCGCUCUCUGCUGCAGCUCAGGUUGGCUGAGAGCCAGACGCGCCUGGACCACGACGUAGCGGCUGCGGUGAGCGGCGUGUACCGCCGUGCGGGUCGCGAUGUGGCCGCCCUGGCCGGGAGGCUGGCAGCUGCCCAGGCCAUCGGGCUGGCGGCCGCCCACAGCGUGCGCCUGGCGCGCGGAGACCUCUGCGCGCUUGCGGAGCGCCUGGAUAUUGUGGCUGGUUGUCGCCUGCUGCCGGACAUACGAGGGGUGCCGGGCAUCGAGCCCGAGCAGGACCCGGGACCGAGAGCCUAGGCUGUUACUCUGUGUCCCCCCCACCUGACUCUGCCUCUUGGUGGACAUUAGUACCACCUGUGGCAUCUGACUCUGUCUUUGUUCUUGGAUCACCGAGGCCUCCAAUUCGUACUAACGUUUGGUUAACGCCAACCGAAGCAUCUUCGUUGGUUUGGCCCGAUUAAAUUCUUAGCACAAUUCUGGGAUCCCCAACCCAAGACUCGGCCCAGGUUCUGUGGCUAUCAAGUGGUUUAGCCCCCACCCCUUCAUUUUGGUCCUAUUUCCUAAAUUGAGCUUCUCUCCUAGGCAAGGCUGGGGUUUGCUUCCUUUUCUUGAACCUCUCUAGUCUAGGCUUUUUUUGGGGGGGGGGCGUCCCUCUAGUUUCCAUCCCUAAAUGAUGAUCACCCCUGAUCCGAGGAUACUUUCAUUUUACACACCCCUCUUACACACAGACCACUGUGGCCAGAUGCAGACCAACCUAGGCCUGGGUAGUGACCCUAACUCUCAGGCGUUUGGGUCUGGGGCAGCGCCCCCUCGUGUUUUGAUCGUUAUAGGAGAUGACUCCACAGAUACAAAUUUACCACUCACUUUGUCUGUUUCUGGAUGGUAAAAGGACUUGGAUUUCUGACCUCUAUGGGCACCAAGGAUAAUAGUUUCUUUGGGUCUUGGUUUUUUACUCUUUUGGCCACUCCCUUUGUCUCCGUCUUAAUGAGGAUUCUCUGACCGUAUGUGGAAGGGACUUGGGUGGUGGGGUGAGCCGUUAGCUCAGUGAGUGGUAUUGUGCAUGCCUAGUGUGGGCAGCCCUGGGUUCAAGUCCUAGUACCACCCUUCUCCAAAAGAAACAAAGAAACUAGCACAUCCUUAGAUAUCUCUGUCCCCUUUAAAAACGUACCCUCUUACUUCUCAC